rnacentral:rRNA from 1 species
GAUGAACGCUGGCGGCGUGCCUAAUACAUGCAAGUCGAGCGAAUGACGAGGAGCUUGCUCCUCUGAUUUAGCGGCGGACGGGUGAGUAACACGUGGGUAACCUGCCUGUAAGACGGGGAUAACUCCGGGAAACCGGAGCUAAUACCGGAUGAUAACGAGAAGCGCCUGCUUCUUUUUUGAAAGUCGGUUUCGGCUGACGCUUACAGAUGGGCCCGCGGCGCAUUAGCUAGUUGGUGAGGUAACGGCUCACCAAGGCAACGAUGCGUAGCCGACCUGAGAGGGUGAUCGGCCACACUGGGACUGAGACACGGCCCAGACUCCUACGGGAGGCAGCAGUAGGGAAUCUUCGGCAAUGGACGAAAGUCUGACCGAGCAACGCCGCGUGAGCGAUAAAGGCCUUCGGGUCGUAAAGCUCUGUUGUCAGAGAAGAACAAGUACCGGAGUAACUGCCGGUACCUUGACGGUACCCGACCAGAAAGCCACGGCUAACUACGUGCCAGCCGCCGCAGUAAGAC